GCGUCUGUAGCUCAGUGGAUAGAGCACUGGAUUCCGGUUCCAGGUGCGCGGGUUCGACUCCUGUCAGACGCGCUA
rnacentral:tRNA from 1 species